UCUCCGUUGGUGAACCAGCGGAGGGAUCAUUACCGAGUUUACAACUCCCAAACCCUUUGUAAACCUUACCUUUUUUUGCUACGGCGGGCUCGCCCUGGCGCCUCACGGCCCCCGAUCGGAGCGCCCGCCCGAGGCCCAAAACUCCUGUUUAUUUUUUUUUCCUCUCCGAAGGGAACAAGCAAAAUAAAUCAAAACUUUCAACAACGGAUCUCUUGGUUCUG
rnacentral:misc_RNA from 1 species